UGAUCAGCCACACUGGGACUGAGACACGGCCCAGACUCCUACGGGAGGCAGCAGUGGGGAAUUUUCCGCAAUGGGCGAAAGUCUGACGGAGCAAUGCCGCGUGGAGGUGGAAGGCCUACGGGUCGUCAACUUCUUUUCUCGGAGAAGAAACAAUGACGGUAUCUGAGGAAUAAGCAUCGGCUAACUCUGUGCCAGCAGCCGCGGUAAGACAGAGGAUGCAA
rnacentral:ncRNA from 1 species